UUGGUGCCAUUGAGUCUUCCUAUCAUAGUGGUUGCUGUGUACUUUCAUUGGCUCAGCAUGAAGUUGUUUAAGCAUGCUUAGCAUAACUUUGCCAAAUUUUGAAGGCAGAAAUACAUGUAUGCUGUUGGAGCAACAACCACCUAUAUCAAUUUCUGUUUUAUUAGAUAUUUCUGCAACUUGCACUCAUCCCAUCACCUAAAAAGAACAUAAGAAUUAAGAUGUUAAAUGGGACUGCAUACCUGUCAAAUACUAUUCAUGUUUGUUGUACAUUUGAAGGUACUCAAGGCCUAAGGAAAGUUACGUACAUCAUUUAGUCAUUCCAGCAGCAUAAC
rnacentral:lncRNA from 1 species